CCAGUUACAGAUUCAAAGAUCUGUCCAGAAGCACCAAGCUGGAAGGAAUGAUUAGUAUGGACUUCAAACCCAGCACUGACAAAUCAGCCUUUGGACUAGCCAGGAGGACCACAUGCUUCACCUCCAGCCCAUUUUCCAUCCACAGCUACCUUGGUGUUCAGAUGUGAAGUAACCUUCACUCCUGCUGAAGGAGGGGAAAAAUUCAUCAAUGACUUACCAAUUACCAAACAUAAGGGUAUGCACUUCAGCAGCCAGAAUGAAGGAGGAGAUGCGCAUGCUAACUUACUAUUGGGGGACAUCCAUAUUUGUAGUAAGCCUUUUAUUCACAUACAGAAAUCAGUAUUAUUACAUGUGACAGAAAAACACUGUAAAAGCUGAACCUCAGUAGUUAGCCAUUACCCAGAACAAACAGGAGAGAAGAUCAUCUCGUGUACCUCCAGAACAGAUACUUCAUGUGCCCUUUCUAUGGAUAGUACUUCACUUCAGACACAAGCAUUUUUCAACAGCA